UUUCUCGCUACUGCGUUUCCAAUAGCAGCUGACACUUGCGUGUGUGCGAGGGAAUAGUGCAACCUCGAAGUGCAUCCCAAAGAUUGUGGCGCCAUAGCUCGAAGGAAAGCACGACGAAGGAAAAAGGAUCCAGGUGGAGGAGACAACCUUGCCUCCGGUCGCGUUGCUUGGCAUGUGGCGCUUGAAAACCGUUAUCGCGAGCUCCAGUGCCAAGAUGAGAGCCGUUAGGAGAACACCCAAGAUGCAGACGCUGCUCUUUCUACUCCUUGUUCUGGGCUUUUGCAGUCAUCAAGCACAAGGUGCAACCACCAUGAGUAGUUCAUCAGCUGCGGGCAGCACGGGAACAACACAGGCCAUGACUACAACCAAUCGACAGGGCGGCACGUCUUCUGCAACCACCACAGCUGCUAUGAGCAGCAUGGCAGCAAACACCACGAUGGCAGGAAUGACACAGGCAGUAGGCAACACAACUGUGGUGACAACAGGAAGGAUGAGCACUGCUGGGGCAUCUGGAGGUACAAAUAGCUACAGUCGAAGUGACAACUACACCGGCACCUAACACCACACAGGCUGCAAGUACACGUCAGACAACGGGUACCACAGCUGGCGUGAUGAGCACCACAAGUCAAGCAACUACGAUGCAUGGCACCACUGCUUCCAUGAAUACUACAGCUCCAAUGCAAGGCACUACUGCUGCCAUGAAUACCACAGCUACAAUGCAAGGCACUACAGGUGGAGCAAAUACAGCUGCAAUGCCAGGCACUACUAGUAGGAUGAAUACCACAGCUACAAUGCCAGACACUACAGGUGCCAUGAAUACCACAGCUAGAAUGCCAGGCACUACAGGUGCCAUGAAUACCACAGCUACAAUGCCAGGCAGUGCAGGUGCCAUGAAUACCACAGCUACAAUGCCAGGCACUACAGGUGCCAUGAAUACCACAGCUACAAUGCCAGGCACUACUGGUGCCAUGAAUUCCACAGCUGCAAUGUCAGGCACUACAGGUGGAAUAAGUUCCACUGCAAUGCCAGGCACUACCAGUACCAUGAAUACCACAGCUACCAUGCCAGGCACUACAGGUGCCAUGAAUACCACAGUUACAAUGCCAGGCACUAGCGACAGGAUGAAUUCCACAGCUGCAAUGCAAGGCACUACAGCUGCAACAAAUACCACGGCUGCAAUACAAGGCACAACAGGUGCAAUGAAUACCACAGCUGCAAUGCAGGGCUCUACUGACACUAUGAAUACCACGGCUGGUACAAGUCUGACAACAGGUACACCGGAGACCACUGUUAGCACAGCAUCAGACAACACCACCAUGGCACCAAUGAACACCACCAUGGCAUCAACAAACACCACAAUGAUGGCAACAACCCAGACUACUACAAUGAUGACCACCACAACACCAGGUCCUUGGAGAGUGACAUUUGACGGUGACUGCAAGAUCGCCUUGGAUUACGAAGCAGACUUUCUCCAGAACUGCAGUGUUGCAGUCGCUACUUGGCUCAACAUCAGUAAAACUGCCACACGAUGCUACGACUUAAGAUGUGGCUCCACCAUUGUCACAGUAGAAGUCAACCGUUCAGCCAGUGAGGGAGUUGCUGAUAAGUUCAACAGCCUGAUGAACAAUGCUAAUGAGUCCCUAAUGAUCGUAUUUCAAGGGGCUAACUUUACAGCAACUGAUGCAAGGGUCAUCAGUGAGCCGACACAGCCAACCACAGCUGAUGGAUCCACCAUACCAAGUACCACUGAUGCAAACACCACAGCAUCCUUCUGCAUGAUCCGUGGACUGGAUUACACCGGCUGUGUCAUUUUCCUGAGCUGUGUGAUCGCUGUUGGAGUCAUCCUGCUCGCACUCGUCUUGUGGGCCAUCAUUCAUUGCUGCCGUCGGCAGAAGAGCAAGUCCUUCGACCUCCUGAGCGACAUCCCCCACAUCUCGCUGAGCGAUUACCCCAUGACCACCAUCCCGCGCCCGUCGGUGUACCAGCACGGCAACAGCUCCGGUCAGGUGAACAUGGCGUACAUCACCGAUCAGGACGACAUCGACAAGCCCAAGCAGCCGCUGGAGUCCUCCAACACCAGUCAGUCCAGCCACAGCUCCGGGAGGGUGGAGGACGGGAAGAAUACCAGCAUGCAGCCCGACGGUAGCAGCAACCACGUGCAGCAAGAGGCCGCGUCGGCGUCCUACCAGGCCGUGCCUACAGAAGAACAACCCCCUCCAGUGUACAGCCCCCAAUCAGGUACAAACAACGUGGUCCAGCCAACAGGAACUGACCAGGCCCCAGGGCCGUACCCCUCACUUGCUAGCCCAGUGAAUGAAGCCUUGCUUGACAUACCCGAAACCGUGGACAACCCUGAAGUGCCUGAAUCAGAGAACCCUACCAUCUCAUUCAGGGCACCUGAUGCACAGGACACCCCCGAGUCUGCCACACCUGGGAGCCCCAAGGUCAUCAAGGGCGACGAUGGUUCUGUGAGCGUUGUCGUCAACUGGUAGACCGGUGCCCAGCUGUUCAUUUUAUCUGGUCUCAAACAUUUCCAAACUUUCCAGGGCUCAAAAUACCAAGCAUGCACUUGGGAGAAAAAUUGCAGGCUUGGUAUGGUGAAUCAAAUAUUGCAAUUCUAGGGCCAGUCACAUUAUUGUACAAUUGUUGUAAACUUAUGGCAUUCUUGGGAUACCGUAGUCGUGCAUAUAUUGUACAAAACUCAGCCAUGUUUGGUAAGGAAAAUGCUAUCUUUGAUCCUUUUUGACAGUUUUCAAAUUCUACUGCAACAAAGUUGUACAUGUAUGAUAGUCUACGAUGAAUGUGACCAGGCCACACCCUAAAAAGAAAAGUAUUUUGAGCCUUGCGAGCACAAUCGCUAUCUCCCAGACCUUAGUAUGUAAGUUGCAUUUUGGCACUGCUUCACAAACAACAAGGGUUACUAUAGGUGCCAUGUAUGGCAGCAAAAUUUCUACUGAUACAGUGAUAGUCUGAUACUGUGAAAUGUGCCAGAGGCUAGUUUUGAGGGAAAUUUCCAUAUCCAAGUUUUUAAAGUCAACAGUCUGAUGAAUUUUGAAAAAAAGUUUACAGGAGUUGCCAUUCAAACUUUGAUGUGCAAGUUUUUAGACUCCAGCGCAUUAGUUAAAUGUUUUUAAGUGCCAUGGACACAGUCAAAAAGUUCAGACAAAUGAAUACAGGUCUGCCAAUACUUUCUCCCUGUCCCAUUGAUUUGAAUUUGGCCUUAGUUAUUCCAUGCCU